AGAUCUACUUGAGGAUGAGUCGAGUUCAAGUGGCAAUGAGAUGGUAUUAAAAUGUGAUCUACAUGAAGUUUUGAUUGAUCCAAUGACCUUGUUGAAUGGCGAAUAUUUUGUAAGCAUUGCAUUUAUAGUUAAUGAAAAAAUCCCCCCCUCGUGGUAAUGUUUUACUUUGUUGUAUAUCUUUCAUAGAAUUUGAGAGGUGAUUACAGUUCCGGGAAGAGUUAUUCUCAAUCCAGCAAGGCGGGUAGCCUGGCAUCACAAUGUGUGAACCAAGUUUAUAGAUUGAGAGCAUUUUCCUUGGUGAAGACUAGCGGUGUUUGCGAAUCUGUGGUAAGAAAAUAUCUCAAUAUCUUCAAUAUCUAAUUAGCUCAAGAAUCUGAUUUAAGGCCUGCUUCCGAACAUCCCCAUUCAACAUUUGACGUUUCUAAAUGCGGUCCACCGCAACAUUACGGUAAAUUCUACCCAUCGACAUGCAUUUUGCAUGUGUCGAAUUUUCUUCUUUUGGGCCUGAAGACUUCAUGUAAUUAUACCACGUAAUUAUAUCAUGUAAUUCAUUGCUUCCCUCCCUCCCUAACACGCUUCAACACACCCAGAUUCUGGUGUGUCAUGUGACCAGCCUGAACCAGGGUCUCUGCUGGAGCGUGUUAGGGAGGGAAGCGGAAGUUGAGAGCCUGGCGCUUGCGAGGAUGACAUAGAUGACCUUGCGAGGAUGACAACUUGAUGCCAAAUGACAUAUAGUUGCGUUUUCUCAGCUGUUCCUGAAAAAUUUCAUAUCGAAAUGUUCGUCUACAAACCCCCAUCAAGAAUCAGUUCUAUCGAGUGAUGUGCCCAAAAAUCUUAGUAUAAUUUUAUGCCGACCUCGUACUCAGGGCCUUUGCGCGGUAGCCUCUGAACCGCGCAAAGGCCCUGAAUACGAGGUUGAUUAUAUGCGUGCCUUUAAGUUUGGUAACAGUAUAUUGUCUUUUUUAUGUUCCCUCCUUGUCAUAUUUUCUACUCCAAAGCUUUAUGGAAU